rnacentral:piRNA from 1 species
CNCAAACUCUCUUUGUGGCCUGCGUAGUGU